CAGGCCUAACACAUGCAAGUCGAACGGGAAGCGGUGCUAAUUGCUUCGGUGAUAUAGUGCCGUGGAGAGUGGCGAACGGGUGCGUAACACGUAGGUAACCUGCCCUGAAAUGGGGGAUAACCACGGGAAACUGUGGCUAAUACCGCAUAAUCUCGCCGAGACGGUGGUUUCGGUGAGGAAAGCUGAGGCGAUUUGGGAGGGGCCUGCGGUCGAUUAGCUGGUUGGUGGGGUAAAAGCCUACCAAGGCGAUGAUCGAUAGCUGUUCUGAGAGGAAGACCAGCCACACGGGAACUGAGACACGGUUCCGACUCCUACGGGGGGCAGCAGUGAGGAAUAUUGCGCAAUGGGGGAAACCCUGACGCAGCAACGCCGCGUGGAGGAUGAAGGUUUUCGGAUUGUAAACUCCUUAUCUGGGGGAAGAGGAAGGACGGUACCCCAGGACGAAGACACGGCUAACUAGGUGCCAGCAGCCGCGGUAAUACCUAGGUGUCAAGCGUUAUCCGGAAUUACUGGGCGUAAAGGGUGCGCAGGCGGCGAUACAAGUCUGGCGUGAAAGCUUCUGGCUUAACUGGGAGAGGACGUUAGAAACUGUAUGGCUAGAGUGAAUGAGAGGGAGGCGGAA
rnacentral:rRNA from 1 species